UAGGCUCGUGACAGUCGAUCGAAUGUCGGUAUCCGUUGCAAACGCGUGUACGCGCGCGGCACGCCUCGCGAGUCUGAUUUAGGCAAUUUAGAUCGCCGCAGCUGCGUGCUGUGCAGCCUUUCAGCCUGUCAGUUCUUGCUCUGACGAAAUAGCGAAAUCGUCGGCGCGUCUCUCGAUCGGUUUUGCCCGCCGGCGAUGUGUAACAACGACGGCGAUGGCGCGGCGGCGAUUGAAAAUCCAAGAAUCCGGGAAAACUUUCGAGGAACGCAGCUAACGAACAAACUUUCGCUGUAUGUAUAGCCCGUCGUCGCAAGAUCUCGACAGAGUCGAGAUUUCGUACUUAACGAUUUAUAUAACGAAACGACUACGCGUCGGUACGGAGUCGAUAAACCGAGUAUUAAUUAAAUACACGACGAUGACACGCCGGGAUCUUCGAGCAUCUCGACCAGUCUGCGCUCUUUGAAAUUUAAAAGACUUGAGGAAACCGAGCCAUAGCUCAUUGGUGUUUGAUUAACCAAAUAGAA